UUCGCGUGUCUAUUCCUUAUUUCGUAAAAUAAAGACUACCACUUCCAUGUAUUUUGCAUGUAAAAAAUUCAAAUAUAUCAACAUUAGGAAUCAUUACAAUUACAUUACACAUUAUUUUUAUGGCUCCCUCACAUCUACAAAAAUUGCAAAUCAAAUCUUGAUACACCAAUCUCAAUUCACCACAAAACUCCACCAAUCCAAUUAACCCAAAAUUUUCCAACCAAAAAGUAGUCCGUCCAUAGUGCUCUAGCUACCAUGCCCCAUGCCCAUUAAUUCUUUCUAAUUUCAAACAUAGCCAUUUGUAGUGCUCCACUUCAAUUUGUCUCAUUUUGACCACCACCACCACCAUCACCACCACACACCACCGCCACCACCGCCGCCACCACCACCACCGGAGGUAUGACAGAGGAUUUUUUUAUUUAUCUACUUAAAAAAGUUGCAAAAUUAAAGAAAAGGCCCAUCGCCAGCUCUUUGCAUUUAUGAUCAUCGAUCCAUCACUUCUCCCCCCACCACCCUCAACAAAGAAUCGUAUACUAAAUAUUAAAUGUACAAAAACAAAAAAAAAAAAGAAAAAAAGAAAACUAAACCUGCUUACACAUAUACGUACAGAUGAGAGACAGUGCAAUGGCCAACCUACUAUAAAUUCUUUAAAUGCACUCCCAUUCUUCACUCACUUCCCCAAUUUAAUGCCCCCAUCAGAACUUCCAGACAAGCAAUUAAAUGAGGGCACUCUUCCCACUAUAUAAAUUAAUAUAAUUUUAUUUUAUUUAUUUUGUUUCCAAACCAGCGUUAAUUGUGGUCCAUCCACGUGUCUUCAAUCCUCACCGUCUACUAAAUCUCUCCGGUGACAAUAGCGCCUCUGGAUCGCCG
rnacentral:lncRNA from 1 species